UUUGGGCAUGUGAUGAGUCUUGUUGUGUUUAAUGGGUAAUUUGCGUCUGAAAUUGACAUUGAUGCUAUAUAUUUUGGAUGUCCUUU